AAAUAACAUCCUCUGUAAAAUUGAGAAAGAAUUUGGUCCUAACCCUCCGCAGAGUAGCCACACAAUGGAUGAAGUGGGAUUCAUAUCAAUACCAUAUCGCUUUAAACAAACAAUUAGCUGUCAUGCGACACCUUGCACAGAAAGCGCAAAAGAAGCUUGCCUACAAGAGGCCGCCUACUUUAUUUAACUUGCUGCGGAAUGAAAAAGACAGAAGAAAAGAUAGUGAAAAGUCAGGAGUUUAUGCGAUACCACUCGAAUACUCACAAGAAAAUAGGCAGACAGUGUAUGUGGGUGUCACUAACAGAACACUCGGUCAAAGAAUUCAUGAG
rnacentral:lncRNA from 1 species